rnacentral:rRNA from 1 species
AUGUCAUCUUUCAUCCUCGGCCAUAGUCUCUGGCCGUUGCUCCGUCGACGUCCGUCCACCAACGGGCACCGAACCCAGGAUAGCGCCAGCAUCAAAGGAGGCAGUCAUGGAGGGAUCUUCAAGCUAUUCAUGUUCAUGUCGAUGCUCUCACCGGGGUGUAGGACGGUGGGGUUGUUGGGUCCACACAACAACCCAACGCUCCUCGCAGAUCACACGACUACGGUGACACUAUUUGGGCACCGGCACCACUGCGUGAACCUGUCCAUCCACGAGGAUACCCGCGCGCCGCCAGUGUUCCUCAUCGAGCUACCCAUGGUGACGAGCGUGCUACACAGGGAGAUCGUGUCCGGCGUGGUGAAGUUCACACUGAAGAGCGACACCCGCAGCAUGCGUCGUCUCGUGGAGGAGUACGUGUGGGCCGUCUUCUGCGACGGCUGCCAAGCCGAAUACUCCAUCGGUUGGAAGGACGCCUCAGUUGAUGAGCGAUACGUGAUGUGCCUGCUCCGUGGCCUAUCCAUGGGCGCCGGCGUGAUGCUGGCCGCACCCCAGAAAGAGGGUGGCGUGCCCAUAUAGCCUCGGCCAAGGUUAUCUAAAUUGUGA